UACGUAGGCAGCAAGCGUUGUUCGGAGUUACUGGGCGUAAAGGGUGUGUAGGCGGUUCUCUAAGUCUGGUGUGAAAUCUCCCGGCUCAACUGGGAGGGUGCGCCGGAAACUGGAGGGCUUGGAGUGUGGGAUGGGAGAGUGGAAUUCCUGGUGUAGCGGUGAAAUGCGUAGAUAUCAGGAGGAACACCGGUGGCGAAGGCGGCAUCCUGGACCAACACUGACGCUGAGUGAGCGAAAGCCAGGGGAGCAAACGGG
rnacentral:rRNA from 1 species